UACGUAGGGUGCAGGCGUUAUUCGGAAUUACUGGGCGUAAAGCGUGCGCAGGCGGUUUGCUAAGACAGGUGUGAAAUCCCCGGGCUUAACCUGGGAACUGCGCUUGUAACUGGCAAGCUAGAGUGUGGCAGAGGGGGGUGGAAUUCCAGGUGUAGCAGUGAAAUGCGUAGAGAUCUGGAGGAACACCGAUGGCGAAGGCAGCCCCCUGGGCUAACACUGACGCUCAUGCACGAAAGCGUGGGGAGCAAACAGG
rnacentral:rRNA from 1 species